rnacentral:rRNA from 1 species
AUGUUCGUUACACCUCUAGGUAUUCCUGCCCAGUGACAAAUGUUCAACGGCCGCGGUAUCCUAACCGUGCAAAGGUAGCAUAAUAACUUGCCUAUUAAUUGUAGGCUAGAAUGAACGGAUAAACGAAAUAAAAACUGUCUCAAUUAGUUACCUAAAAAUUAUUCUCUAUAUGAAGAAAUAUAGAUACUUUCGAAGGACAAGAAGACCCUAUAGAGCUUUAUUUAAACUACAAAUUAAAAUUGUAUAAAUAAUUCGGUUGGGGCGACCAAGGGAAUAUAAAUCACCCUUAAUAAUAUAGAUAUAUUAAUCAAGAUAAUGACCCUAUAAUAGAUCACAAAAUCAAGCUACCUUAGGGAUAACAGGCUAAUUCCAUUCAAGAGUCCAUAUCAACAAUGGAGUUUGGCACCUCGAUGUUGGCUUAGGGUAUCAAUAUAGCGCAAAAGUUAUAUAAAGAUGGUUUGUUCAACCAAUAAUCCCCUACGUGAUCUGAUUUCCAGACCAGGAG